rnacentral:rRNA from 1 species
CCUACGGGAGGCAGCAGUGGGGAAUAUUGCACAAUGGGGGAAACCCUGAUGCAGCGACGCCGCGUGAGUGACGAAGUCUUUCGGUAUGUAAAGCUCUAUCAACAGGGAAGAAAAUGACGAUACGUAACUAAGUAUGCCCGGCUAACUACGUGCCAGCAGCCGCGGUAAUACGGAGGGGGCAAGGGUUAUCCGGAUUGACUGGGGGUAACGGGGUCGGAGACGGUAGUGCAAGUCUGAAGUGAAAGCCCUGGGCUCAAAGUUAGGACUGCUUGGGAAACUCGUCAACUGGAGUGUUAGAGAGGUAAGCAGAAUUCCUGGUGUAGCGGUGAAAUGCGUAGAUAUCAGGAGGAACACC